GACGAACGCUGGCGGCGUGCUUAACACAUGCAAGUCGAACGGAAAGGCCCUGCUUUUGUGGGGUGCUCGAGUGGCGAACGGGUGAGUAACACGUGAGUAACCUGCCCUUGACUUUGGGAUAACUUCAGGAAACUGGGGCUAAUACCGGCUAGGAGCUCCUGCUGCAUGGUGGGGGUUGGAAAGUUUCGGCGGUUGGGGAUGGACUCGCGGCUUAUCAGCUUGUUGGUGGGGUAGUGGCUUACCAAGGCUUUGACGGGUAGCCGGCCUGAGAGGGUGACCGGCCACAUGGGGACUGAGAUACGGCCCAGACUCCUACGGGAGGCAGCAGUGGGGAAUAUUGCACAAUGGGCGGAAGCCUGAUGCAGCAACGCCGCGUGCGGGAUGACGGCCUUCGGGUUGGAAACCGCUUUCGCCUGUGACGAAGCGUGAGUGACGGUAAUGGGUAAAGAAGCACCGGCUAACUACGUG
rnacentral:rRNA from 1 species